rnacentral:RNase_P_RNA from 1 species
CAAGUUGGCUAGACGAUCGCGGCCGUGCUACUACUUGUGGUUCGGCUGAGGAAAGUCCGCACUCCAUAGAGCAUGAUGCCGGCUAACGGCCGGACGGGGUGACCCGAUGGCAAGUGCAACAGAGAGUAGAUUGUUUUGGUGAACGCCAAGGCGAGGGUGAAAGGGUGGUGUAAGAGACCACCGCUUCUUCGGUAACGCAGAAGGCAUGGCAAACCCCGCCCGGAGCAAGGUCAAGCAGAAAGAAUGGGGUGUCCCGCCUCUCUUUCGGGUAGACCGCUUGAGUGCUUUGGUAACAAAGCACCUAGAUGAAUGAUCAUCGCUGAAUAGUGGGUAACCAAUAUUCAGAACAGAACCCGGCUUAUUGACGCCUCAAUCC